CCAGCCAGUACCUUCUCAUGAGGAAGAAUCAAUUUCCAAGGUACUGAAUAAACCCUUGGGCUCUGCUGUGGAGAGGUGACCACCCAUAAAAACGGAUGUGAAAAGACUGUAAGGUGAGCUGUCAUCUUAGUGGACAUGAACAAACAAGGAGUGAAGGCAGAGAGUGGCUGUGGAUGUAUUUCCAACCCUCAUGCAGGGACUGGCAGCUCCCGCUCAGCAGGUCUGGUGUUUGCAUCUGGCUGAUCCAUGGACAGAACAUGGCUUUUCCAUUUCCCAACUUGAGGUGUAUAACCAACACAGCUCUGUGCUGUGCCAUGUGGCCUUACUGGUCAGCCUUGAACACUCAAAGAAAAAUCUGCCUGCUCUGAAUAUUGCCUGAGGAUUUAGAAAGGUCUUUCUUGGAAACAGAAGAAUGAGAUGAAACAAUCAUCUGUAAAGCAUGGAGAGCGGUAUGCUGUACACAGCGUGCUGUACACAGGAGGAGGAGGAUAAAGAAUGACAUGCUACUCUAAUACACUUAAAAAUCUUGCUAUCUCUGUAAUGGGCCUUAUUAGCACUCAGAGGAGCUGGCGUGAGUUGGAUGGCAGUAGCACAUGCCAUUCUGCUGUGCUAGAAAUCUCAGCUCGUGGAGAAGGA